CAACUUUUAACAACGGAUCUCUUGGCUCUCGCAUCGAUGAAGAACGCAGCGAAAUGCGAUAAGUAAUGUGAAUUGCAGAAUUCAGUGAAUCAUCGAAUCUUUGAACGCACCUUGCGCUCUCUGGUAUUCCGGGGAGCACACCUGUUUGAGUGUCAUU
rnacentral:rRNA from 1 species